rnacentral:rRNA from 1 species
CGGCGGACGGGUGAGUAACACGUGGGCAACCUGCCUUCCACUGGGGGAUAACACAGGGAAACCUGUGCUAAUACCGCAUGACAUCACAUAGGGCAUCCUGUGUGAUCAAAGGAGUGAUCCGGUGGAAGAUGGGCCCGCGUCCGAUUAGCUAGUUGGUGAGGUAACGGCUCACCAAGGCGACGAUCGGUAGCCGGACUGAGAGGUUGGCCGGCCACAUUGGGACUGAGACACGGCCCAGACUCCUACGGGAGGCAGCAGUGGGGAAUAUUGCGCAAUGGGGGGAACCCUGACGCAGCGACGCCGCGUGAAGGAAGAAGGCCUUCGGGUUGUAAACUUCUUUGAUGAGGGACGAAGGAAGUGACGGUACCUCAAAAACAAGCCACGGCUAACUACGUGCCAGCAGCCGCGGUAAUACGUAGGUGGCGAGCGUUGUCCGGAAUUACUGGGUGUA